CCGUUCCUCUGUUCCUGUCUGAGAUCGCGCCGACGAGGAUCCGCGGCGGGCUCAACAUCCUGUUCCAGCUCAACGUCACUAUCGGCAUCCUCUUCGCCAACCUCGUCAACUACGGCACCUCCAAGUAAGUCCCAGCUUAACCAUGAUCGGCCUGUGCGUGCGCUAUACCGGCAGUAAUCGAUGGAACUGAUGAGCCUCGUGCGUCUAUGCUAUGCAGGAUCCACCCGUGGGGAUGGAGGCUUUCGCUGUCGCUCGCCGGCAUCCCGGCCGUGCUGCUCACCCUUGGCGCGCUCUUCGUAACGGACACGCCCAACAGCCUCAUCGAGCGCGGCCGCCUGGACGAGGGCAAGGCCGUGCUCAAGAAGAUCCGCGGCACCGACAACGUGGAGCCGGAGUUCAACGAGAUCGUGGAGGCCAGCCGCAUCGCCCAGGAGGUCAAGCACCCCUUCCGCAACCUCCUCCAGCGCCGCAACCGCCCGCAGCUCGUCAUCGCCGUCCUCCUCCAGAUCUUCCAGCAGUUCACGG
rnacentral:lncRNA from 1 species